UACUAGUCUGUCCUCCGUCAUCUGGAACCGGGCACUUCUUAUCCUGACUCUGCCUCGGCACCGUCGCAUGCUCACUUACUGAUACAGCACCUCGCUCCACCCACAACGCCUGCUCAAUCGAUGUGUCCAAGAUCCUCAACCUCUGCGCCUGAACCAACAUAAAAAUCUCUGACCUCAACCCCCUCUCAUACAGAUAAACCUU
rnacentral:lncRNA from 1 species